rnacentral:piRNA from 1 species
UAGCUAAACCACAAAGUAGUGUGACAUUGAC